rnacentral:rRNA from 1 species
AGUGAACGCUGGCGGUAGGCCUAACACAUGCAAGUCGAACGGCAGCACAGUAAGAGCUUGCUCUUACGGGUGGCGAGUGGCGGACGGGUGAGGAAUACAUCGGAAUCUACUUUUUCGUGGGGGAUAACGUAGGGAAACUUACGCUAAUACCGCAUACGACCUACGGGUGAAAGCAGGGGAUCUUCGGACCUUGCGCGAUUGAAUGAGCCGAUGUCGGAUUAGCUAGUUGGCGGGGUAAAGGCCCACCAAGGCGACGUUCCGUAGCUGGUCUGAGAGGAUGAUCAGCCAAAAUGGAACUGAGACACGGUCCAGACUCCUACGGGAGGCAGCAGUGGGGAAUAUUGGACAAUGGGCGCAAGCCUGAUCCAGCCAUACCGCGUGGGUGAAGAAGGCCUUCGGGUUGUAAAGCCCUUUUGUUGGGAAAGAAAAGCAGCAGGUUAAUACCCCGCUGUUCUGACGGUACCCAAAGAAUAAGCACCGGCUAACUUCGUG